UGCACGUAAUGGAUCGUGAUGGACGUACGCUACUGACGUCUGUCCACCUCUCGUUGUAAAUAUUGAGUCCUAACAUCGCAAAAUAAGACGGAAAGAGAAAACAUUUCGACCGUCCUUUGAUAUGAAUAUAAGAAGCGCACAGAUUUUUGCGCAGGUGGGCCCGCAAUUGAAUGAAGAGACCGAGUUGGGAGGUGCUAGCUAGGAAGAUUUACUGUAUCGUUACCUGUAGGUAUACCUACAUACGUGUGUAUCCAGCCAUUCAUUUUCAAGCUCCGACAAUGAGGUAUAAUCGCAUAUAGGUCUGUGCGCAUUACAUAUUACCAGUUACAAAUACCGAUGUACUUAUAGGUACCAUAUGCGAAGGUGUAGGUAGGUAUACACCGCAUUGUCAGUGGGUGGCCUCGAAACGAUUUUAUAUCAACCGUACGAAUGGUUGUGUUGGGACCGUAAAAACGAUAGGACGAUAUCUCAGAUUUAAACGUGUCGCGGGUCUUCACUUUCGAAAAUAUUACAGCGGUGCAGUCGCGCUGAACGAUGUCCAUUGUUCACAACAAUAAAAAAAUCCUGUGUCUCUACCGAUCGAUGGAUUGACUAACGUCGGUGCGAGAUCCGGGGCGACCCGUUGAUGAUUCCGAGAAAAAGGUCCAACAUUUUUAUUGUUCGAUCAAAACGGGCCAAAUAUGUGGCGAUGGUUAUUAAAAAAAA
rnacentral:misc_RNA from 1 species